GAGGUCGUGGUCGAGGGCGAGGGUGCCGGCACGGUGCCUGACGACGAGCGCCACCUCGUCGUGCGCGCGAUCCGCGUCGCGCUCGACCACG
rnacentral:tRNA from 1 species